GCUUAACACAUGCAAGUCGAGGGGCAGCAUGGUCUUAGCUUGCUAAGGCCGAUGGCGACCGGCGCACGGGUGAGUAACACGUAUCCAACCUGCCGUCUACUCUUGGACAGCCUUCUGAAAGGAAGAUUAAUACAAGAUGGCAUCAUGAGUCCGCAUGUUCACAUGAUUAAAGGUAUUCCGGUAGACGAUGGGGAUGCGUUCCAUUAGAUAGUAGGCGGGGUAACGGCCCACCUAGUCUUCGAUGGAUAGGGGUUCUGAGAGGAAGGUCCCCCACAUUGGAACUGAGACACGGUCCAAACUCCUACGGGAGGCAGCAGUGAGGAAUAUUGGUCAAUGGGCGAGAGCCUGAACCAGCCAAGUAGCGUGAAGGAUGACUGCCCUAUGGGUUGUAAACUUCUUUUAUAAAGGAAUAAAGUCGGGUAUGGAUACCCGUUUGCAUGUACUUUAUGAAUAAGGAUCGGCUAACUCCGUGCCAGCAGCCGCGGUAAUACGGAGGAUCCGAGCGUUAUCCGGAUUUAUUGGGUUUAAAGGGAGCGUAGAUGGAUGUUUAAGUCAGUUGUGAAAGUUUGCGGCUCAACCGUAAAAUUGCAGUUGAUACUGGAUAUCUUGAGUGCAGUUGAGGCAGGCGGAAUUCGUGGUGUAGCGGUGAAAUGCUUAGAUAUCACGAAGAACUCCGAUUGCGAAGGCAGCCUGCUAAGCUGCAACUGACAUUGAGGCUCGAAAGUGUGGGUAUCAAACAGGAUUAGAUACCCUGGUAGUCCACACGGUAAACGAUGAAUACUCGCUGUUUGCGAUAUACUGCAAGCGGCCAAGCGAAAGCGUUAAGUAUUCCACCUGGGGAGUACGCCGGCAACGGUGAAACUCAAAGGAAUUGACGGGGGCCCGCACAAGCGGAGGAACAUGUGGUUUAAUUCGAUGAUACGCGAGGAACCUUACCCGGGCUUAAAUUGCAGAUGAAUUACGGUGAAAGCCGUAAGCCGCAAGGCAUCUGUGGAGGUGCUGCAUGGUUGUCGUCAGCUCGUGCCGUGAGGUGUCGGCUUAAGUGCCAUAACGAGCGCAACCCUUGUUGUCAGUUACUAACAGGUUCCGCUGAGGACUCUGACAAGACUGCCAUCGUAAGAUGUGAGGAAGGUGGGGAUGACGUCAAAUCAGCACGGCCCUUACGUCCGGGGCUACACACGUGUUACAAUGGGGGGUACAGAGGGCCGCUACCACGCGAGUGGAUGCCAAUCCCCAAAACCUCUCUCAGUUCGGACUGGAGUCUGCAACCCGACUCCACGAAGCUGGAUUCGCUAGUAAUCGCGCAUCAGCCACGGCGCGGUGAAUACGUUCCCGGGCCUUGUACACACCGCCCGUCAAGCCAUGGGAGCCGGGGGUACCUGAAGUGCGUAACCGCGAGGAGCGCCCUAGGGUAAAACUGGUGACUGGGGCUAAGUC
rnacentral:rRNA from 1 species